rnacentral:lncRNA from 1 species
CAGUGACAGUGCUGCAAAAAUGCAAAGUAUGUUUUCAUCACAGUGUGUAGGCACAGGACUGGAGCCACCGGACAUAAAGGAACCAGCUAAAGAUGUUUUUAACAUAGUCAUCCAUCCAUUCUUCUGUGUUUAUCUGGAAUCUACAACCUGUAGUAUAUGAAAUGCUUUUGCCUCUCAGCAGAUUGCUAAGUGGGCAGUGUUUGGCACCUUUCAACACUGUCCAUUAACAAUAUCUCCAGACCUGCCAGCUCCCAUCUCUGGUAACACAGCAGAAAGAAUGGAAAUGCUUUCUUUACUCAGCAUCUAGAAAACCAUCCUCAUGUACUAAUGACACAUAUGCUUAAAACCUCUUUAUUUGAAUUCUACCAAAACUAACUCUCCCUCCCCACCUGUAAGAUGCUGUUAACUAAUCCUUAUCCAAAACUGUUCCAAUGGAAUUCAGUCGAUUUGAGUCAAGCCAAAACAAACAUGUAUGGUACAUCUAUUAUAGGACAAGACUGUGUUUAAAAAACAGGAAGUCCCUUACUCUUUACAGAGCUUGCUGUCUAGACAAUGUUUGAAUGAACUGAAAAUUGGUUAAUGCAAUUCAGUAUGUACAGGCAAUGAUAGAGCAGGCAGGGGCAGUAAAGGCAGCUUCAUACAGGAUGGGAGAUUUGCUAGGGUGGCCAGAGGGAUGGCUUCACCAAGAGAGAUGUCCCAAGUGGUCCGAAGAGCAUCUGCAGAAGCCUGGAGGAGAGCCCCUGCAAGGGUCCAGCUGGCUCUCUGCUUCAGCUGGUUCAACUCUGAAAUUUCUUACAUUCAAUUAGUCCCUCCCUUCCUCAUCUCAUGCUAGUCUUCCUAUGUUAAGUGUUUCCCACUUGCUCUUGUUCUUCAGUGCAAUCAAAAAUAUGUUGAGACUUAGUGAUACAUAGCCUCUUUCUCCAGAAAACCAUCCAUCAUUCAUUCCCUGAUGAUAAUCUCUUAAAAAUAACAUUGGUUUUUCAUUUUGCAAUCAAAGCAUAUACAUAUUGAAAAAAAAUCAGAAAAUACAGACAAACAUAAAAUGGAAAUAAAGGUCAUCCACGAACCCACAUCCAGAUUAAAACCUCUAUGACUAUUUUAUUGUACAUACAUCCAGAUUUUCCCCACCCAUGUGGAUAUUUUUCCUUGAACAAAAAUUACAGUGUACAAUACUUAUCCUUGGAAAUCUAAUUUUUUGCUUCAUGUAAUGUGGAUCUAUUUCCUAAACAAAACUUACCUGUGGCACAACUUCUGUGGUUGCAUAGGAUUCUUGCGUCGAUCUGCCUUAACCUAUUUAACAAACACAUUAUUACAAAUAUUUUUAUUAUUUCCAUUUUUGUC